GUCACGCAGAAGGGGGCGACAGCACAGGU
rnacentral:sRNA from 1 species